rnacentral:rRNA from 1 species
CCUACGGGUGGCAGCAGUCGAGAAUCAUUCACAAUGGGGGAAACCCUGAUGGUGCGACGCCGCGUGGGGGAAUGAAGGUCUUCGGAUUGUAAACCCCUGUCAUGUGGGAGCAAAUUAAAAAGAUAGUACCACAAGAGGAAGAGACGGCUAACUCUGUGCCAGCAGCCGCGGUAAUACAGAGGUCUCAAGCGUUGUUCGGAAUCACUGGGCGUAAGGCGUGCGUAGGCGGUUUCGUAAGUCGUGUGUGAAAGGCGCGGGCUCAACCCGCGGACGGCACAUGAUACUGCGAGACUAGAGUAAUGGAGGGGGAACCGGAAUUCUCGGUGUAGGAGUGAAAUGCGUAGAUAUCGAGAGGAACACUCGUGGCGAAGGCGGGUUCCUGGACAUUAACUGACGCUGAGGAACGAAGGCCAGGGGAGCGAAAGGGAUUAGAUACCCCAGUAGUC